GAAAUGCGAUAAGUAGGGUGAAUUGCAGAAUUCAGUGAAUCAUCGAAUCUUUGAACGCACAUUGCGCCACUUGGUAUUCCAUGGGGCAUGCCUGUUCGAGCGUCAUUUGUACCCUCAAGCUCUGCUUGGUGUUGGGUGUUUGUCCCCGUCUCCGCGCGUGGACUCGCCCCAAAGUGAUUGGCAGCCGGCGUACUGGUCCCGGAGCGCAGCACAUGUCGCGCAAACGAGUGCCUUGGUACGGCGGCGUCCAUAAGCCCCUCUCUCACGCUCUUGACCUCGGAUCAGGUAGGGAUACCCGCUGAACUUAAGC
rnacentral:misc_RNA from 1 species